rnacentral:rRNA from 1 species
GACGAACGCUGGCGGCGUGCUUAACACAUGCAAGUCGAGCGAUGAAGCACCUUCGGGUGUGGAUUAGCGGCGAACGGGUGAGGAACACGUGAGGAAUCUGCCUUCCACUCUGGGAUAGCUCCGGGAAACCGGGGCUAAUACCGGAUACUUUCAACUGGCGGCAUCGCCGGUUGAAGAAAGUUUUUCGGUGGAAGAUGACCUCGCGGCCUAUCAGCUUGUUGGUGAGGUAAUGGCUCACCAAGGCGACGACGGGUAGCCGGCCUGAGAGGGCAACCGGCAACACUGGGACUGAGACACGGCCCAGACUCCUACGGGAGGCAGCAGUGGGGAAUAUUGGGCAAUGGAGGAAACUCUGACCCAGCGACGCCGCGUGAGGGAUGAAGGCCUUCGGGUUGUAAACCUCUUUCAGCAGGGAAUAAGCGAAAGUGAAGGUACCUGCAGAAGAAGCACCGGCUAACUAUGUGCCAGCCGCCGCGGUAAAAC